rnacentral:rRNA from 1 species
AUUGAACGCUGGCGGCAGGCCUAACACCUGCAAGUCGAGCGAGCGGCGGACGGGUGAGUAGUGUCUGGGAAAAUGCCUGAUGGAGGGGGAUAACUACUGGAAACGGUAGCUGAUACCGCAUACCCUAAGAUGUGCCCAGGUGGGAUGAGCUAGGAGGUGGGGUAACGGCCCACCUAGGCGACGAUCCCUAGCUGGUCUGAGAGGAGGACCAGCCAUACUGGACCUGGGACACGUUCCAGACUCCGUCGGGAGGCAGCAGUGGGGAAUAGUGCACAAUGGGCGGAAGCCUUAUGCAGCCAUGCCGCGUGUGGGAAGAAGGCCUGCGGGUUGUAAAGCACUUUCAGCGGGGAUGCGUUACCCGCAGAAGAAGCACCGGCUAACUCCGUGCCAGCAGCCGCGGUAAUAC